UACGUAGGGGGCUAGCGUUGUCCGGAAUCAUUGGGCGUAAAGCGCGCGUAGGCGGCCAGAUAAGUCCGGUGUGAAAGCCACAGGCUCAACCUGUGAAUGCCGCUGGAAACUGUCUGGCUAGAGUCCGGGAGGGGCGAGUGGAAUUCCUGGUGUAGCGGUGAAAUGCGCAGAUAUCAGGAGGAACACCAGCGGCGAAGGCGGCGUCCUGGACUGGUACUGACGCUCAGGAGCGAAAGCGUGGGGAGCGAUCCGG
rnacentral:rRNA from 1 species